rnacentral:rRNA from 1 species
UACGAACUGUGCAAACGUUAUUCGGAAUCACUGGGCUUAAAGGGUGCGUAGGCGGCCAUUUAAGUAGGGUGUGAAAGCCCCCGGCUCAACCGGGGAAUUGCGUCCUAAACUGGAUGGCUGGAGUGAGAUAGAGGUGUGUGGAACUUCCGGUGGAGCGGUGAAAUGUGUUGAUAUCGGAAGGAACGCCGGUGGCGAAAGCGACACACUGGGUCUCAACUGACGCUGAGGCACGAAAGCCAGGGGAGCGAACGGG